rnacentral:rRNA from 1 species
GAUGAACGCUGGCGGCAUGCUUUACACAUGCAAGUCGAACGGCAGCAUGGGGGCAACCCUGAUGGCGAGUGGCGAACGGGUGAGUAAUAUAUCGGAACGUGCCCAGGAGUGGGGGACAACCAGUCGAAAGAUUGGCUAAUACCGCAUACGAUCUACGGAUGAAAGUGGGGGACCUUCGGGCCUCGACGCUCCGUGGAGCGGCCGAUAGCUGAUUAGCUAGUGGUGGGGUAAGCCUACCAAGGCGAUGAUCAGUAGCUGGUCUG